rnacentral:rRNA from 1 species
UACAGAGGGGGCAAGCGUUGUUCGGAAUUACUGGGCGUAAAGGGCGCGUAGGCGGCCUGUUAAGUCGAACGUGAAAUCCCCGGGCUCAACCCGGGAACUGCGUCCGAUACUGGCAGGCUUGAAUCCGGGAGAGGGAUGCGGAAUUCCAGGUGUAGCGGUGAAAUGGCGUAGAUAUCUGGAGGAACACCGGUGGCGAAGGCGG